rnacentral:rRNA from 1 species
GAUGAACGCUGGCGGCGUGCCUAAUACAUGCAAGUCGAACGGAGAGUGUUAGCUUCGGUUGAUAACUCUCAGUGGCGAACGGGUGAGUAACGCGUUGGUGACCUGCCCCGAAGAGGGGGAUAACAGCUCGAAAGGGCUGCUAAUACCCCAUGUGGUGCUAGAGGUUAGAGGCUCUAGCAAGAAAGGAGCAAUCCGCUUCGGGAGGGGCCUGCGUCCCAUCAGCUAGUUGGUAGGGUAAAGGCCUACCAAGGCGAAGACGGGUAGGGGACCUGAGAGGGUGACCCCCCACAAUGGAACUGAAACACGGUCCAUACACCUACGGGUGGCAGCAGUAGGGAAUAUUGCACAAUGGGCGAAAGCCUGAUGCAGCAACGCCGCGUGUGCGAUGAAGGCCUUCGGGUUGUAAAGCACUUUUCGGGGAGAUGAGGAAGGACAGUAUCCCCGGAAUAAGGCUCGGCUAACUACGUG